GGGGAAUAUUGGACAAUGGGGGAAACCCUGAUCCAGCCAUGCCGCGUGUGUGAAGAAGGUCUUAGGAUUGUAAAGCACUUUAAGUUGGGAGGAAGAGCAGUUAACUAAUAUUUGACUGUUUUGACGUUACCGACAGAAUAAGCACCGGCUAACUUCGUGCCAGCAGCCGCGGUAAUACGAAGGGUGCAAGCGUUAAUCGGAAUUACUGGGCGUAAAGCGCGCGUAGGUGGUUCAGUAAGUUAGGAGUGAAAGCCCCGGGCUUAACCUGGGAAUUGCUUCUAAAACUGCUGAGCUAGAGUACGGUAGAGGGUGGUGGAAUUUCCUGUGUAGCGGUGAAAUGCGUAGAUAUAGGAAGGAACAUCAGUGGCGAAGGCGACCACCUGGACUGAUACUGACACUGAGGUGCGAAAGCGUGGGGAGCAAACA
rnacentral:rRNA from 1 species